CGGCGGGGGCGGACCGGCCGUGCGCAGGCGGCUCCGGCGCGGAUGCCGAGCCCCCGGCACAGCGGCGGGAGCGGCGGCGGCGGCGGGAGCCCCGGCCCCGCGAUAAAAAGGGAAGGGGCCGGAGGUGCGCGCUGCGGGUCCGCCCGGCGGAACGUGCCUGGAGGGGCUGGCGGCAGGCUGAGCCGGCGGGGGAGCGGGAGGCUGUGCCCAGCCGUGAGCCGCCUCCCUCGCCCGCUCCCGCCCUCCCUCCCGCAGGAAUCCCGGCACCGGGACGCGCGGCUCCCGCGGGCUGCGCAGCGCUGGCGAGGAGGAGCCGCCGCCACAUCCUGCGGCACCGGCCCGGCCGGCGCAGGUGGCAGUGUAGAAGCCAAGAACAAAAAUUGGCAGAAAUUGUGUUCUGUGUACGAGAAUGUGAAGAGUGUACUCAUGACUAAGCACAGGAACCUGGAAAACCACAGGCUUUAGUCAGGUGAUCCCUGAUGAGUAGCCAGCCCACCAAGAAGGGACUUGAGCACACAGCAGACUGGAAGCGUGUUUUGGAUGAUCAUUGCUUGAGAGGAUCGGGGAAUGUUCCCUCUGAUGGAUGGGACAGUCGUGGCAGCUCUGCCCCGGUGGUGGUUCAGUGAAGCACUGAAGUCAGCUCUUCAUUUCAUGGAUGUGAGGAGCACCGCUGACCUCAGCAGGACUGCAGGCACCUCUUGAUCCUGUCACUGGCAAACUGGUCCCAGAGACAAAGAAAUAGCUCAGCUUGAGCUGAAUCUGCAGAAGAGAUCAGUGUGUAACUGCGUGUCUUGAUGAAUUAAGCAAUUUUCCUUGAGAUUGCUCCUACAGGUUGGUACCAUUCUUGGAAAAGGGCAACACAGAAGCUCUGGAACACAGAGCAAAGUCAGGCCUGGUUACUGCUUAAAUCUAGUCCUAAUUAGGAGCUUUUUGUUCCUAAUACUGAAUAAAAGGAAGAAGAAUCCUUAAUUCAGUAUUCUACAUAACAACAGGUGAAUGUAGCAGGAUGAAGGCAGAUGACAUUUCUGGAAACACAAAGAACCUCCUGUGACUGAAGGAGCAUCAUUAAAAGCAGUAAGAAUGGUGGUUGCAAAAUCAGUUGAAUAUUGGAUCACACGGGAAUUAAUUUGCUUAGCUGUAACAGAGGAACUAGUGGGAAAAAAGACAUAAAAUCCUCUUUCUGCCCUGUGCUGAUGAGAAUCACUGAAUAGCUCCACAUCAUGUCCUCGGUGAUUUGGGAAAAGCAUCAUUAAUGCUGGGUGAGCUCUGCACCCCAGAGCACCCAGGAUGGGUGAUGUUUCCUUCAUCUUCCAGAGGAGCCUCCUCUGGCUGCAGGGAGACACCAGAAGUCCUUAAAUGUCCAGUGAAAGCUUCUCCAUACAAAGCUUCAGUCAUGUUACACCUGAACACAUGUUUUUGGACAUCUGUCUUCCAUUGAAAAACAGAAGGCUGAAAAAUGUUUCUGAGUCUUUGGAGGGGAGAAGGGGAGGGAAACGACAGAGGAUGCAGCUUUUCCAGCAUCAGGAUUCUUGAAACAGUUCUCCAGCAGGGUCAAGUGUCUCAUUCUUUCUCAAGACCUCAUUUUUAUGCUGCUUUAUAUUUACCCAGGCUCCUUCCUGCACACAGGGAGCUGCUCAGGCUUGGAAACAGACACAUGUAAGACAAAUUGUUCAGUACUGGGUGAAGAGCUCCAUAAAACCCCAACAGCUUUGGGUGCUCUAAUUUGCACCUUGGCAAAAUAUAUGUAUCUAUUCGCACUGAAGGUGGGACUGACAACAGAAGAGCUUUCCAUAAAGAGGAAGAAUGCCUUCAGGGAAAGGGGGAAAAGCUGUUUUUCAUGUAAAGUAUUCCACUUCUCAAUUUUGUAAACUGAUAAAAGGGUGGACAGCAUGGGCACUCAGCAACUAAUGGGAAAGGUGAGGCUCUUCAGAGCUCAACUCGUCCCCUGGCAGCAGAAAUGGCCCUGUUUGCCAGGUGCCAGCCAGCAGGUGCAGAAUGUCCCAAGGCAUUCUCCCUCAGAGGGCCACCAAAAUCCCCAAAGAGGACAGCUCCGAGGGGUCAGCUGUGCCUGAGGUCCACACAUCACCCUCAGGUGUCUAGAAAUAGGGGGUUUUUUUUGUUUAUAUUUUUUUUAUUAUUAUUCAACCCAAGUUUGCCAGAUAUUUGAGCUAUUUCUUUGUCUCUGACCAGUUUGCCAGUGACAGAAGAGAGGAGCAGCAGUGGCUGGGUGACCUGGCCCUGGAACAGGCUCCGUGCAGGGCUGCCACAGCCGAUCCCUUUGGCCACUGCUCCACCAGCCCUGCAGAGGAAAUGUGAGGAGUGAGGAGCAAGGGCAGAUUUUUCUGGGCUCAGUGGCUUUGAGACAGCACCUGGCAGCACAGUGCCCACACAGACAGCAGCCUUCACAAGAAGUUGGCUCUGGCCCACAGCAAGUUCUGAGUUCUCCCAGGCAGAGGGUCCAGGCAGUGAGCAUCUUCCUGAAGGGAUGUUUUUGGCAUAAGGGGAAUGUGGAUGGAAACAGCUCUGAUUUAAAUUGCCUAAAGUAGUAUUUCCUGGGGAAAAUAACUCCAGUGAGGUUUGUCUGCAGCCCUGUUGGGGGAGAUGCCUGUCACUUAGGCAGAGGAUGAUGCUGUGUGUGGUUCCUCCGUAGUUUGUGGCAGAUUCUUCCCUCCCUCCCUGCCCUGGCUCCUCUCUGUCACCUGGUCAUCAGUCCCAGGUCUGGUUUGCUUUUCUUCCCCCCCUGCCAAUUCCUUCCUCUCCUGCUACUCUGUACCAGCAAAUCGAGGCAGGUGAAUUGCUGAAUUUUACAGAAAAUGGCCACUGGCACUGCACCAGGGACCUCCCUCACCUCUGGCUGCACUCAGUGCCUGUCAGGUCUCUGGUGAGGGUGGGAGGGGGUUGGGGGGAGCAGCCAAGUGAAGUGCUUCAAGCUGUGAGACAUUUUCUGUUUAUGUUGCAGGCCAAACCUCUUGGAUUUGAACCAGAAUGGCCACUUUUUUUUCCCUUCUUUUUUUUUUCUUUUUUUCUUUAUCUUUUUUUUUUUUUUUUUGAGGCAGAUAUGUCUGUGGAGAGCAGGAAAGAGUAGCACAUAUCCUGGUUGUGGUGUUCUCUCAGGGAAAACAAUAAUGUGAAGCAACACACUCCCUGCUGCAGGCUGCACAUUGUCCUGCUCCAUGGGAACAGUGGCUGGGACAGCUGGCAUCGCUCCCUAAAUAGGGAGCAGCUCUCUGGUGCAAAUUCACCUCUGCACCACCAAAAUCACCACUGCCACGCUGCUUCAGAUUUUCCUUUGGAGGGGCAGAUUGCUCAGAAGGAAGUAGCAAGGCAAGCCCAGUGUCAUGUGGAAUAGCUGAAAUUCCUCAAGUUCCUUUUUGCCAGGAUUUCAAGCUGUGAAAGACACAUGAUCUCCACUGCUUGAGACUUUAACUGAGGAUUUUCCCCAACAGAGAUGGAUAGGUAGCUGCACAAUUUUUCUCUUUUUUUCCUACAUCUGAGUUAAAUCAUUGUUAAGGCCUGCAUUUGGAAACAGUAACCUCAGAUGGGGUUUAUCAAAAGGAAUAUAUGACUCCUUACCCUCAGGAACUGAUCUGCCCUACGAUCACUUUUAGAGGAAAAUACAAUUAAUUCAAAUUUUUUCACCUUUUCUGCCAUUCACAUUGUUCACAGCACCCCAUGAAACAAGGGGUUGAGAUCCAGUGGCCUCAGACCCCUUAUUGCUGUAUUUGGUCUCAGUCAGGGGCCAGUAACAAGCUGUAUCUAUAAAUCUCUCUUGUAUGCCUAUAGCAGGAGCUGCUGUCCAUUUUCACAUUGAUAGGGGAUGAAGUUUAAAUACUGAACAGCUUCAUGCUGAUAUUCACUGAUUCAUCAGAAGCAGAUGAGGUGAGGAAAAGAGCAGUUUUAUUCCUUGCCACAUCAGUGGUUUUUUAAUUGCCCAGCCCAGUCCAUCAGGGGGUACCUGGUAAAAUGAAGAGGCAUUGCCAUUUGAGGGGAGAAGAAGGUUGUCAAUAAUUUGUGGACAGGAGUGUUGAAACUGCCUCUUAAAUAAAGUUAGAGAUCAGCAACCUUUGAGGAGAUGGCGAGAAGAUUUGGAUUUGAAAAAAAACAGCUGUAGGAGGCACCAAAGGAGCAUGGUGUAAAUGCAGGUUAGCAUGAUUUAGCAAGAAGACCCUGUGACUCUGAGCUCCUUGGAAGAAAAUGGGGUGUAAUUUACUUUAAUUUAUUUAUCACUCAUGUCUUUAUGAACCUUUGAAAUUCUUGUUAUCUGUUCCAGAUUUUUUUUCCCAGAUAAGUAUUUCAAUGAACUUAAGAUCACAGUUCAUUUCCAGAUCAUUUCCAGAUAAUUAGCAAACAAAGGCAUUACACAUAGAAUUCCUUCUCCCUGUGUGUCUGGAGCACCCACACAAAGAGCCAACACCUCUCUGCAGUGUCCAAGGUUUCCAUUUUCCAUGCCUUUGCUUCCCAGGGCAGCUUGAGAGCUGAUAGUGCAGGGACAGGAGGAGAGGAACUGUUUCCAGGUGACCCCAUGCGAACCAGGGCAGAAAGGAACAUCCCUUCACCUACAGAAGGUUUGCCACAGAUUUCACUCAGGGCCAGGAUUUUACUCAGGGUCUGUGAAGCUCUUGGCUGGCCUGAGGAUUUGAGUGCUUUUGGAGCACAUUUACCGAGCAUGAAUAACCAAGUCAGCAACGUGCAGCUGCCAGCUCAGCCAUGGGAAUGCAGGAUGAGCUCCCUGCUGGGUAAAAAUAGGGCAGGUAAAAGCACAAGGAACCACGGUGCUGCCGCAGUUAUUUCAAUUUUACCCAAAGCUUUGAAUGCAGCCAAUUACAGCUGGUGAAAAGCAGCUCUAUCACCUCCAUUUGAAUUUUUUUUUUCUUCUAAUGCAGAUAUCUACAGCUUUGUAUUAUUGCCUUAAUUUUGGAAAUGAGAAAGGAGAAAAGAGAAGGAAUGACACUUGUCCCUGAUGAUACAGGCAUUGUCAGACCCAUGAGGGAGGCUCUGAAAUGCCUCCUCUUACUCUUGUUCUCAUUCCUCUGGGUUAUAAAGAU